rnacentral:rRNA from 1 species
UACGGGGGGGGCAAGCGUUGUUCGGAAUUACUGGGCGUAAAGGGUUUGUAGGUGGCUUGUUAAGUCAGACGUGAAAUCCCUCAGCUUAACUGGGGAACUGCGUCUGAUACUGGCGAGCUUGAGUGCAGGAGAGGAACGCGGAAUUCCAGGUGUAGCGGUGAAAUGCGUAGAUAUCAGGAGGAACACCGAUGGCGAAGGCAGGUCUCUGGGCUGACACUGACGCUCAUGCACGAAAGCGUGGGGAGCAAACAGG